UACGUAGGGUGCGAGCGUUAAUCGGAAUUACUGGGCGUAAAGCGUGCGCAGGCGGUUUUGUAAGCCGGAUGUGAAAUCCCCGGGCUCAACCUGGGAACUGCAUUUGUGACUGCAUGGCUAGAGUACGGCAGAGGGGGAUGGAAUUCCGCGUGUAGCAGUGAAAUGCGUAGAUAUGCGGAGGAACACCGAUGGCGAAGGCAAUCCCCUGGGCCUGUACUGACGCUCAUGCACGAAAGCGUGGGGAGCAAACAGG
rnacentral:rRNA from 1 species